rnacentral:rRNA from 1 species
UGGGGAAUAUUGCACAAUGGGCGCAAGCCUGAUGCAGCCAUGCCGCGUGUAUGAAGAAGGCCUUCGGGUUGUAAAGCACUUUCAGCGGGGAGGAAGGCGAUAAGGUUAAUAACCUUGUCGAUUGACGUUACCCGCAGAAGAAGCACCGGCUAACUCCGUCCCAGCAGCCGCGGCAAUACGGAGGGUGCAAGCGUUAAUCGGAAUUACUGGGCGUAAAGCGCACGCAGGCGGUCUGUCAAGUCGGAUGUGAAAUCCCCGGGCUCAACCUGGGAACUGCAUUGGAAAAUGGCAGGCUAGAGUCAUGUAGAGGGGGGUAGAAUUCCAGGUGUAGCGGUGAAAUGCGUAGAGAUCUGGAGGAAUAGCGGUGGCGAAGGCGGCCCACUGGACAAAGACUGACGCUCAGGUGCGAAAGCGUGGGGAGCAAACAGG